ensembl:lncRNA novel transcript, antisense to PREX1
GGGCGGCGGGAGCAGAAGGACUGGUUGAGGAUGGACUCCACCUCUGAAAACGGCCGCAGGAACACCAGGUCCUCAUUGAUGGAGUAGAUCUUCCUCCCCACCUGCAGGCCAGCCACCUGGGUAGGGACGGCAGAGGACAGACGUGCACACCAGUUACUAAGCUCCUUCCCUCCUCACCAAGGAAGCUCAAAUGUGUUCAGCAGAAGGGUGCUGGCCCAAGGGAUCCAGCAGGACUGGGUGACUGCGUGCUGUCUGUGGGCCUGGCGAAGAAAGAUGAAGACCUGCUGACCCGAACCAAGAUUCACAACUGCCUCCUUCCAACCGCUCACAUCACUGGCAAGGUCAACCUAGCCGCUCCGGCCAUGGGUAUGUCGCUCCUUGCAGCCCAAAGCAUUCCUAAUUGCCACAGGGGCAAGCUGGGCUCCAGCCAGCACGGCAGGUGCAUCUCCCCCACCCACCUGCACACGCCCCAGGCAAAGCCGGAAGGCCCCAGGGCUGAAUCCUCGGCCAGCCACACCCUCACUCUCCUAACCUAUCCUCCUGUAGGCUUUGCAUCAGACAGCAAUGAGCUUAUCUUAUUCAAGCCACUGUGACUGGUUGCAGAAAACUGAGACACCUGCUUUUUUCCUGUACCUCCCCACAAUGUCCAGCAGAGGGCAGUGGUGGAACACACCAGGAGCACAGCCCCGGGACUCUGCACUCACUCCCAGCUACUGUAGCCACUGCAGACAGUGGGUCCUGGACUCAGUUUCUCCACGUGAGCAAUGAGAGAAGAGGAGUCAGCGAUCAUUCCAGAAUCUCCUGGGCUGGGCUGCCUCAAGGAGGGUGAAGAGAGACACCCCGCUCUGCCACCUGCACACGGUCCCUGCCAGCUCCCCCGAGGGCCUCACCUCAGCCAGCGAGCCCCUCUGGACGGACUUCACCACCACAGCCUUGUUCUUCUCCUCGAUGUCAAAGCCAUAGUCCUCCUCCUGGGGCAGGAUCUGGGGGCCCAGGGCAGAAGGAACCCGGUCAGGGAGCGAGGUGGGCCUACGGCCAGCCCCACCGUGGCCCCCACAGGACCAUGACCUCGUCCCAGGUCUAGUAGGGAAGUGGCCAGAUCCAGGUGGGCGAGACAGAGCAAAACGCAAACAGCACCUGGCAGAGCCAGUGCUCACUCUGUGCCUGCCACUGGCUUAACGAAUCACACGGAUCCAAAGGUGUCCAGCCACCAAGAAUGUGGAGUCAGGGAGUUUAGGGAGGAGCGGUCCCACCCCAGGGCAGGAUGGCAGGCAUGCUAGAAACAGGUCUGGGGGUUCCCCAGUGCGGGGGAUACAGGGAAAGGCACUCAUUCAGUCAACAGACAUUGAUUGAGAUGCUGCCCAUCACACGGGCCAGGCAGUUCUCAUGGGUGCUGGAGACACCAUCUAGAACAAGACAAACAAGCCCAGCCCUGCUUAGUGCGGGAGGCCAACUAUAAACAAAUAAACAAAAGAAAUACAGGAUGUGAUGCAGGGAGUGUACGUAGUUGGAAUUAAAGCACUUAAUGGGAUAGGGCACGGCAAGGGGGCAGAGAAGGUGCUAUCGGAGCUGAGGCCUGAACGAAAUGAAAAACAAAACUUCAUAAAGAGUGGAGGAACAUGCUCCAGGCAGCAGACACAGCACGUACAAAGGUCCUGAGGGAGGCCCCAAGGCACUGGAGGAUAAGAAAAGAGAUCAGGAGGUCAGGCGCAAUGGCUCACGCUUGUAAUCCCAGCACUUUGGGAGGCCGAGACGGGUUGAUCGCUUGAUCCCAGGAGUUCAAGACCAGCCUGGGCAACAUAGCAAAACCCUGUCUUUAUAAAAAAUACAAAAAUUAGCUGGGUGUGGUGGCGCAGGUCUGUUGUCCUAGCCAC